ensembl:lncRNA
AUCAAGUAGAAGUGAAAACAGAGAGAGGGCUCUCCAAGGUUCCUUGAUGAAAACUAAAGCCCACUGGAAAAGUGAAAAUUACUGCAAUAAAGGCACACCAGACCACUGUAGUUGGGCUCCUGCAAGUUCCUGAUUUGCACUGUGCUCUGCUGUCACCUGCUGGUCAUCCAAGAAAAGACAGACGUAUACCGCCCCACAUGGUCAGUACUGGAAACCCAGCAAGAUGCCAAUAAGCUAUGAACGCUUAGUUCCUGAAUAAAUUCUCAUCAGCUGCUCGGAUUUAACCUUCAGUCACCUUAUGACCCAAGCCCUCUCCUAGGGAGGCACUGAAGCUGACUCUGAAGCUGUCAAGGUGAGAGAGUGACAGGGUUUGCCCCCAGCAGCUCCAGUGCCAGCAACACUGUACAGGGGUGCCCAGUGCUGAGAACAUCAGAGACUCCUUAGGCCGAGGGCAAGGAAUAGGAGUCAGCCAGCCCACUUGGGGUAGGAACAGAGAUAGCAGUGGACACUUCCUGGAGAAGCAGCUGUGGAAGUGACCCAGCGGAUUGCCAGAAUACACAGCAGGUGCUGCUUUGUGUGGCUUAAGGAUGGCUGGACCACGGCCUGCAGUUGCCCCAAAGCCUUGGCCUGUAGGAGAGAGCAGUGAUGGAUAUCUAAAUUCUUGCCCCAUGAAUGUUGAUUCUUCUCUGCACAUGGAGGGAUUUUAGCUGCAUAAUCACUUCUGCCUCUUCCUUCCGGGCCCUGACUCUCACCCUGCUACUUCCCAAGGGAGAGGUGAGGCUUGGAGAACUUGGAGGAGAAGCCAAACAUGUGCACCUAAGCGCUUUAUCAUCCCUAAGGUGGAGCAGGCUGCCUGCAGGCAGAACCUGUAGGUCUGGGUCCAUGUGGGCAGCCUGUGAAAAUCCAGAGUCCAAGACAGAGCUGUAAAUUCCUUUGGUUUAUAGGUCCUCAGUUAACAAGCCAGCCUGACUAUAAAUCUAA